rnacentral:rRNA from 1 species
AGGAUGAACGCUGGCGGUCUGCUUAACACAUGCAAGUCGAACGGAGUAGCAAUACUUAGUGGCGGACGGGUGAGUAACGCGUGAGAAUCUACCUUCAGGACGGAGACAACAGUUGGAAACGACUGCUAACCCCCGAUGUACUGAAAAGGCAAAUAUUUAUAGCCUGAAGAAGAGCUCGCGUCCGAUUAGCUAGUUGGAGAGGUAAAAGCUCACCAAGGCGACGAUCGGUAGCUGGUCUGAGAGGACGAUCAGCCACACUGGGACUGAGACACGGCCCAGACUCCUACGGGAGGCAGCAGUGGGAAUUUUCCGCAAUGGGCGAAAGCCUGACGGAGCAAGACCGCGUGGGGGAAGAAGGCUCUUGGGUUGUAAACCUCUUUCGACCUCGACGAAGCUUUUCGGAGUGACGGUAGGGUGGAGAAGCACCGGCCAACUACGUGCCAGCAGCCGC